rnacentral:rRNA from 1 species
UACAGAGGGGGCAAGCGUUGUUCGGAAUUACGUGGCGUAAAAGGGCGCGUAGGCGGCCUGCUAAGUCGAACGAUGAAAUCCCCGGGGCUCAACCCGGAACUGCGUCCGAUACUGACAGGCUUGAAUCCGGGAGAGGGAUGCGGAAUUCCAGGUGUAGCGGUGAAAUGCGUAGAUAUCUGGAGGAACACCGUGGCGAAGGCGGCAUCCUGGACCGGUAUUGACGCUGAGGCGCGAAAGCCAGGG